UGGCAAUGAGCUAGCUAAUUGUU
rnacentral:miRNA from 2 species